rnacentral:rRNA from 1 species
UGGGGAAUAUUGGACAAUGGGGGCAACCCUGAUCCAGCGAUGCCGCGUGUGUGAAGAAGGCCUGCGGGUUGUAAAGCACUUUAGUGGGGGAGGAAGAGCAGUUGGUUAAGAGCUGACUGUGAUGACGUUACCCCAAGAAUAAGCACCGGCUAACUCUGUGCCAGCAGCCGCGGUAAUACAGAGGGUGCUAGCGUUAAUCGGAAUUACUGGGCGUAAAGGGCGCGUAGGCGGAUACUUAAGUUGUAGGUGAAAGCCCUGGGCUUAACCUAGGAAUGGCCUAUGAUACUGGGUAUCUGGAGUAGGAUAGAGGGAAGCGGAAUUUCCGGUGUAGCGGUGAAAUGCGUAGAUAUCGGAAGGAACACCUGUGGCGAAGGCGGCUUUCUGGGUCCAUACUGACGCUGAGGCGCGAGAGCGUGGGGAGCAAACAGGAUUAGAUACCCCGGUAGUCC